UGGAAGAAAGAACUAUCUCCACAUUCCAGUUAAAAUUAUCGAUUUCUAAUAAUCCCAAAAUAACUAAAAAGAAGCAACAUAAACAGAUAAAUAAACAUUCUUAUCACACUGCAUCUCUCUUAAAGAAUCUCUCACAGGGCUACCUCAAGUGAAGUAAUUAACAUCCCAUAAGGAUUCAAAUCAAUGGCUUCAACUUCAUCCACCGCACUCUCUCUUCCCUCUUCAUCAACCCUUGUCGAUGCCAAGGCUCCACGCCAGUCAGCUGCUGCUUCACCUCAAUGUGUAACCCUCCCUACACUCCCGCCACCACCUCUUCAGUCUCAUAACCGCUCCUGGAAGACUAUUGCUUAUUGUCCAAAGAUUGCGCGCAAUGUUAUGGCUAUGGCAACAGGAGAGGCUCCAGCUGAAGUUGCAGCGACUGAAUUGCCUGAAAUUGUCAAGACAGUGCAGAACGUUUGGGACAAAGUUGAAGAUAAGUAUGCAGUGACUUCACUUGCAGUCACUGGUUCCGUUGCAUUGUGGGGCUCUACUGGGUUGAUUUCUGCAAUUGAUAGGCUUCCUUUAGUUCCUGGCGUGCUUGAGCUGGUUGGCAUUGGCUACACUGGGAUGAUGUUGAAAGGAAAAGAGCUAUGUUGUUGAUGCUCUAGUAUUCUCUUCAAUGCAGUGGUUUGCAUACAAGAACCUGACUUUCAAACCAGACAGGGAAGAAUUUGUACAGAAAGUAAAGGACACAUUCAGGGAUGUAAUCGGAAGCAGCUGAAGGAAAACAAACUAAUUAUGCUGCUGAUAGGAUGAGGUACUUCAAGUUUUUCAAGCAAAUAGCUUGCAGCAUUAGUACAAGAGGAUGCAACCUUGCUUGUUUUAUUCACCCAGUUUCUAACCAGAGUAAACUCCUUGUAAUGUACUAUUAUGAUCCUUUGAAGGUACAUGUAACUAAAUAUUUCAAUUGCCUUUUCUUAGCACUAUAUUGUGCUCAUGGUCAACUUUCUUUCAUUAUUUGGAACUGAAGUACAAGCAAAUCUAGAAUGUCAAGCAUCCCUUUUAUUGUACAACUGCAUAACAAGGUUACUUUCCCGCAA